rnacentral:rRNA from 1 species
UACGAAGGGGGCUAGCGUUGCUCGGAAUCACUGGGCGUAAAGGGUGCGUAGGCGGGUCUUUAAGUCAGGGGUGAAAUCCUGGAGCUCAACUCCAGAACUGCCUUUGAUACUGAGGAUCUUGAGUUCGGGAGAGGUGAGUGGAACUGCGAGUGUAGAGGUGAAAAUUCGUAGAUAUUCGCAAGAACACCAGUGGCGAAGGCGGCUCACUGGCCCGAUACUGACGCUGAGGCACGAAAAGCGUGGGGGAGCAAACAGG